rnacentral:lncRNA from 1 species
CACUGCAUCUGCUGAGGGACUGAAUGGAUUUGGCGUCCAGCAUGGGCCCUUUGCUGUGCUGAUCUCAGGCUAGUUGCCCCAUGUCCUCCUCAGCUUCCUCACUCCAUUCUUCCAUCCAGUCCUGCAGAGAUUCAAUGUGGUCCCAGAUGUCAGAAGAGGAGACACAAUGAGUGUCAGAAGAAAGUCGGCAGGACAAAAUUUGGUGAAUUUUCUUCAAAAGGAAGAAAGGAUCAAAGUGUGACCAGAUGACAAAAUAGGUCACAGGAUUUGCUUCAAAUCAUCGGAAACCAUGGGAUCCCCAAAAGAAAGCAGGAGGAAGGAGUCCUGUUGUCUUCUAUCACUCACCUCCAGAAGGCAGG